rnacentral:rRNA from 1 species
GACGAACGCUGGCGGCGUGCUUAACACAUGCAAGUCGAACGGACAGGCCCUACUUUUGUUUGGUGCACGAUUGGCGAACGGGUGAGUAACACGUAAGUAACCUGCCCUUAACUUUGGGAUAACUUCAGGAAACUGGGGCUAAUACCAGCUAGUAGCUCCUGCUGCUUAGUAUUGGUUGGAAAUUUUCGGUGGUUGGGAAUGGACUCGCGGCUUAUCAGCUUGUUGGUGUGGUAGUGACUUGGCAAGGAAUGGACGGAUAGCCGGCCUGAGAGGGUGACAGGGCCCAGUGGGACUGAGGUAGAGGCCAGAGUGCAACGGGAGGCAGGAGUGGGGAAUAGAGCACAAUGGGCGGAAGGAGGAUGGAACAACGUCGGGUGGGGGAGGACGGUUGUCGGGUUGUAAACCGCUUGAGCGUGGGACGAAGAGAGAGUGACGGUAACGGGUCAAGAAGCAACGGCUAACUACGUG